UACGUAGGGUGCAAGCGUUAAUCGGAAUUACUGGGCGUAAAGCGUGCGCAGGCGGUUAUGUAAGACAGAUGUGAAAUGCCCGGGCUUAACCUGGGAACUGCAUUUGUGACUGCAUGGCUAGAGUUUGGCGGAGGGGGGUAGAAUUCCACGUGUAGCAGUGAAAUGCGUAGAUAUGUGGAGGAACACCGAUGGCGAAGGCAGCCCCCUGGGUCAAGACUGACGCUCAUGCACGAAAGCGUGGGGAGCAAACAGG
rnacentral:rRNA from 1 species